rnacentral:rRNA from 1 species
CCUACGGGGUGCAGCAGUGAGGAAUAUUGGUCAAUGGCCGGAAGGCUGAACCAGCCAAGCCGCGUGAAGGACGAAGGUGCCAAGCAUUGUAAACUUCUUUUGUCAAGGGACAAAAUCAGGCUCGAGAGCCUGACCGAGGGUACUUGAAGAAAAAGCAUCGGCUAACUCCGUGCCAGCAGCCGCGGUAAUACGGAGGGGGCGAGCGUUAUCCGGAUUCAUUGGGCGAAAAGCGCGCGUAGGCGGGUGCCUAAGCGGGACCUCUAACCUCGGGGCUCAACCCCGAGCCGGGUCCCGAACUGGGCGCCUCGAGUGCGGUAGGGGAGAUCGGAAUUCCCGGUGUAGCGGUGGAAUGCGCAGAUAUCGGGAAGAACACCGAUGGCGAAGGCAGAUCUCUGGGCCGCCACUGACGCUGAGGCGCGAAAGCUAGGGGAGCGAACAGGAUUAGAUACCCGUGUAGUC